GCGCGGCUGGCGAAAUGGCAAACGCAAAGGAUUUAGGAUCCUUCGCCGCAAGGCUUGCGGGUUCAAGUCCCGCGCCGCGCACCA
rnacentral:tRNA from 1 species